rnacentral:rRNA from 1 species
GACGAACGCUGGCGGCGUGCUUAACACAUGCAAGUCGAACGGAAAGGCCCUGCUUUUGCUGGGUUCUCGAGUGGCGAACGGGUGAGUAACACGUGAGUAACCUGCCCUUGACUUUGGGAUAACUUCAGGUAACUGGGGCUAAUACCGCAUAGGAUCUCCUGCUGCACGGUGGUGGUUGGAAAGAGUCGGCCGUGGGGGAUGGACUCGCGGGUUAUCGGCUUGUUGGUGGGGUAGGGGCUUACAAAGGGUUCGACGGGUAGCCGGCAUGAGAGGGUGACCGGCCACAAUGGGACUGAGAUACGGACCAGACUCCUAUGGGAGGCAACAGUGGGGAACCUUGCGCAGUGGGCGGACGCCUGAUGUAGCAGCGCCGCGUGCGGAAAGACGGCCUUCGAGUUGUAAACCGCUUUCGCCGGAGACGAAGCGUGAGUGACGGUAAUGGGUAAAGAAGCAACGGCUAACUACGUG